rnacentral:ncRNA from 1 species
UUUUUCGGGGUUGGGUGAAAUUCCCUACUGGCGGUAUAGUCCGCGACCCGUAGAGGUGUACCAGGCGAAACAGGUCUAUAGUGUCUGGCCGGGUACACAAUACGGCUGACCCGGUGGAAGUCCGGGACCAACAGUAAAGUCUGGAUGGAAGAAAA